UACGGAGGGUGCGAGCGUUGUCCGGAAUCACUGGGCGUAAAGGGCGCGUAGGCGGCGCGGGCAGUCAACGGUGAAAGCUUGGGGCUCAACCCCGAGUCGGCCGUCGAUACUCCCGUGCUUGAGCACUGUAGAGGCAGGUGGAAUUCCGGGUGUAGCGGUGGAAUGCGUAGAGAUCCGGAAGAACACCGGUGGCGAAGGCGGCCUGCUGGGCAGUAGCUGACGCUGAGGCGCGACAGCGUGGGGAGCAAACAGG
rnacentral:rRNA from 1 species